UACGGAGGGUGCGAGCGUUAAUCGGAAUUACUGGGCGUAAAGGGUGCGUAGGUGGUUUAAUAAGUUAUCUGUGAAAUACCUAGGCUUAACCUGGGCAGGUCAGAUAAGACUGUUGGACUGGAGUAUGGGAGAGGGUAGUGGAAUUUCCGGUGUAGCGGUGAAAUGCGUAGAGAUCGGAAGGAACACCAGUGGCGAAGGCGGCUACCUGGCCUAAUACUGACACUGAGGCACGAAAGCGUGGGGAGCAAACAGG
rnacentral:rRNA from 1 species